GACGAACGCUGGCGGCGUGCUUAACACAUGCAAGUCGAACGGAAAGGCCUCUUUCGGGGGGUACUCGAGUGGCGAACGGGUGAGUAACACGUGAGUAACCUGCCCUUGACUUUGGGAUAACUUCAGGAAACUGGGGCUAAUACCGGAUAGGAGCUCCUGCUGCAUGGUGGGGGUUGGAAAGUUUCGGCGGUUGGGGAUGGACUCGCGGCUUAUCAGCUUGUUGGUGGGGUAGUGGCUUACCAAGGCUUUGACGGGUAGCCGGCCUGAGAGGGUGACCGGCCACAUUGGGACGGAGAUACGGCCCAGACUCCUACGGGAGGCAGCAGUGGGGAAUAUUGCACAAUGGGUGGAAGCCUGAUGCAGCAACGCCGUGUGCGGGAUGACGGCCUUCGGGUUGUAAACCGCUUUCGCUCAUGACGAAGCUUUGUGUGACGGUAGUGGGUAAAGAAGCACCGGCUAACUACG
rnacentral:rRNA from 1 species